GCUUAACACAUGCAAGUCGAGGGGCAUCAGGAAGAAAGCUUGCUUUCUUUGCUGGCGACCGGCGCACGGGUGAGUAACACGUAUCCAACCUGCCCUUUACUCGGGGAUAGCCUUUCGAAAGAAAGAUUAAUACCCGAUGGCAUAAUGAUUCCGCAUGGUUUCAUUAUUAAAGGAUUCCGGUAAAGGAUGGGGAUGCGUUCCAUUAGGUUGUUGGUGAGGUAACGGCCCACCAAGCCUUCGAUGGAUAGGGGUUCUGAGAGGAAGGUCCCCCACAUUGGAACUGAGACACGGUCCAAACUCCUACGGGAGGCAGCAGUGAGGAAUAUUGGUCAAUGGGCGGUAGCCUGAACCAGCCAAGUAGCGUGAAGGAUGAAGGCUCUAUGGGUCGUAAACUUCUUUUAUAUAAGAAUAAAGUGCAGUAUGUAUACUGUUUUGUAUGUAUUAUAUGAAUAAGGAUCGGCUAACUCCGUGCCAGCAGCCGCGGUAAUACGGAGGAUCCGAGCGUUAUCCGGAUUUAUUGGGUUUAAAGGGAGCGUAGGUGGACUGGUAAGUCAGUUGUGAAAGUUUGUGGCUCAACCGUAAAAUUGCAGUUGAUACUGUCAGUCUUGAGUACAGUAGAGGUGGGCGGAAUUCGUGGUGUAGCGGUGAAAUGCUUAGAUAUCACGAAGAACUCCGAUUGCGAAAGCAGCUCACUGGACUGCAACUGGCACUGAUGCUCGAAAGUGUGGGUAUCAAACAGGAUUAGAUACCCUGGUAGUCCACACAGUAAACGAUGAAUACUCGCUGUUUGCGAUAUUCAGUAAGCGGCCAAGCGAAAGCAUUAAGUAUUCCACCUGGGGAGUACGCCGGCAACGGUGAAACUCAAAGGAAUUGACGGGGGCCCGCACAAGCGGAGGAACAUGUGGUUUAAUUCGAUGAUACGCGAGGAACCUUACCCGGGCUUAAAUUGCAGUGGAAUGAUGUGGAAACAUGUCAGUGAGCAAUCACCGCUGUGAAGGUGCUGCAUGGUUGUCGUCAGCUCGUGCCGUGAGGUGUCGGCUUAAGUGCCAUAACGAGCGCAACCCUUAUCUUCAGUUACUAACAGGUUAUGCUGAGGACUCCGGAGAGACUGCCGUCGUAAGAUGUGAGGAAGGUGGGGAUGACGUCAAAUCAGCACGGCCCUUACGUCCGGGGCUACACACGUGUUACAAUGGGGGGUACAGAAGGCAGCUAGCGGGUGACCGUAUGCUAAUCCCAAAAUCCUCUCUCAGUUCGGAUCGAAGUCUGCAACCCGACUUCGUGAAGCUGGAUUCGCUAGUAAUCGCGCAUCAGCCACGGCGCGGUGAAUACGUUCCCGGGCCUUGUACACACCGCCCGUCAAGCCAUGGGAGCCGGGGGUACCUGAAGUACGUG
rnacentral:rRNA from 1 species